UUCCUUUGGCAGCACAUUCAUGAAAAUUGGACAAUUCAGAGAAGAUUAGUGUGGCCCCUGUACAAGGAUGACACACAAACUCGUGAAGCCUUCCAUCUUUGG